UACGUAGGGUGCGAGCGUUAAUCGGAAUUACUGGGCGUAAAGCGUGCGCAGGCGGUCUGUUAAGACCGAUGUGAAAUCCCCGGGCUUAACCUGGGAACUGCAUUGGUGACUGGCAGGCUUUGAGUGUGGCAGAGGGAGGUAGAAUUCCACGUGUAGCAGUGAAAUGCGUAGAGAUGUGGAGGAAUACCGAUGGCGAAGGCAGCCUCCUGGGCCAACACUGACGCUCAUGCACGAAAGCGUGG
rnacentral:rRNA from 1 species